rnacentral:misc_RNA from 1 species
AUCCGGAAACCAAGCCAGCCAAACCAGAUCCCAUUGACAUGGAUGAAGAUGAACUUGAGAUGCUGUCUGAAGCAAGAGCACGUUUGGCCAACACACAGGGCAAAAAAGCAAAACGGAAAGCCAGAGAAAAACAGCUGGAAGAAGCAAGACGUCUGGCUGCUCUGCAGAAAAGAAGAGAACUGCGGGCAGCAGGGAUUGAAAUAAAGAAACAGAAGAAAAAGAAAAGAGGAGUGGACUACAAUGCUGAAAUUCCUUUUGAGAAGAAGCCUGCUCCAGGGUUCUAUGAUACAUCUGAAGAAGUUUACGUGGCUGAGGAGCCCAACUUCAAACGACUGCGUCAACAGAAUUUGGAAGGAGAGCGCAGAACUGAUAAGGAGGAGCGAGAUAGAAAGAAAGAUAAACAAAAACAGAAAAAGAGAAAGGAAAAUGAUUUGCCAGGAGCUAUUGCAAGUCAGAGCAAUUUUCAAGAACCAGUGAAGAAGAGAAGUAAGCUUGUUUUACCAGCUCCACAAAUUUCAGAUCAAGAAUUGGAGGAGGUCGUAAAAGGGUCACAGGCCCCGGGGACCCACCCAUCAACGAGCUCCAGAGGGCUGAAGAGUUAAUCAAGAAGGAGAUGUUGGUGAUGCAGCAUUUUGAUGCUGUACACACACCCACCCCUGGACAGCUGGGAAUGGGACCAGGCAAGAAGAACCAGAAAAACGUCACCUCACAAGCUCAGCAUCUGUCCUAUCUACAGCAGCAUCCGUACGAUAAGUUCACGGAGGACGACCUAGAACAGGCAAAGGAGCUGCUGAAGAAGGAGAUGGGGGUGGUGAAGGUGGGGAUGAACCACGGCGACCUGUCCCUGGAGUCCUACUCCCAGGUGUGGGAGGAGUGCUACUCCCAGGUACUCUACCUCCCCUCCCAGAACCGCUACACCCGCGCCAACCUGGCCAGCAAAAAGGACAGGAUCGAGUCCCUCGAUAAACGACUGGAGGCGAACAGAAAUAGCAUGACCAAAGAUGCCAAACAAGCAGCUAAGCUGGAGAAGAAGCUAAAGAUCUUGUUAGGGGGUUAUCAGUCAAGAUCCCAGGGCCUGGUAAAGCAACUCAAUGAUCUGUAUGAACAAAUAGAACAGACAUUCGUAGAGUUCAAAACCUUUGAGGACCUCAGAAAACACGAGAUUGGAGCCAUACCAAAACGAAUGGAGUCUCUAACUGAGGACGUACAGAGACAAAUGGAGAGAGAAAAAGAGCUACAGAAGAAAUUUGGAGAAAUGCAAUACAAGAAAGAUGUUCUGAUCUACGACAGCUGAUGAUCGGAACCACCAUGUGGCGACACCCCACUGAUGCGACAGUGCUGUGGUGACAUGGCCCAUGACAUGUGACUCAUUUUGACAUCAAAUCCAGAACAGAUAUCAUAUAUCUUAAUCUCAUGUUUUGCAAUUAAAAAUGUGAUUAUUUGUAUAUUGAUGGAACUUUUUUCACGCUGUUCACAAGUUUUGUGAAAAUGUUAUGACUGCAUUCUGUGAAAGAAUACUUUACCUUCAUUGUUAUAACAUUGUCCAUACUUUGCAAAGCAAAUAAAGUGGAUCCUUUUUU